rnacentral:rRNA from 1 species
UACGUAGGGUGCAAGCGUUAAUCGGAAUUACUGGGCGUAAAGCGUGCGCAGGCGGCUUUGCAAGACAGGUGUGAAAUCCCCGGGCUCAACCUGGGAACUGCAUUUGUGACUGCAUGGCUAGAGUGCGGUAGAGGGGGAUGGAAUUCCGCGUGUAGCAGUGAAAUGCGUAGAUAUGCGGAGGAACACCGAUGGCGAAGGCAAUCCCCUGGGCCUGCACUGACGCUCAUGCACGAAAGCGUGGGGAGCAAACAGG